GACGAACGCUGGCGGCGUGCUUAACACAUGCAAGUCGAACGGAAAGGCCCUGCUUUUGUGGGGUGCUCGAGUGGCGAACGGGUGAGUAACACGUGAGUAACCUGCCCUUGACUUUGGGAUAACUUCAGGAAACUGGGGCUAAUACCGGAUAGGAGCUCCUGCUGCAUGGUGGGGGUUGGAAAGUUUCGGCGGUUGGGGAUGGACUCGCGGCUUAUCAGCUUGUUGGUGGGGUAGUGGCUUACCAAGGCUUUGACGUGUAGCCGGCCUGAGAGGGUGAUCGGCCACAGUGGGACUGAAAUACGGCCCAGACUCCUACGGGAGGCAGCAGUGGGGAAUAUUGCACAAUGGGCGGAAGCCUGAUGCAGCAACGCCGCGUGCGGGAUGACGGCCUUCGGGUUGUAAACCGCUUUCGCCUGUGACGAAGCGUGAGUGACGGUAAUGGGUAAAGAAGCACCGGCUAACUACGUG
rnacentral:rRNA from 1 species